UUAAAAACGAAGAUGGAGAAAAGUAGAUAAUGAUUCCGCCAAAAAGGGAGGAAAUGUCUUAGACUGUGAGCAUUUCUUUGGUAGGUGUUAUUGAAUUCACUCCGGAGUUGUCACCUGAAACGGUAAGUAGGGCUGACCGGUGAAGAGCCGUUAUUAAAAUGAAGUGAACAGUGUAUUUUUCAUUGUUAAAUUGGGUGGUACCGCGAACUCCUCGUCCCUUAU
rnacentral:ncRNA from 1 species